UUUUCAAGCUGUUGGAAGAAAAACAAUCCACAGUCAUAGCCUUUGGCAAACUGGGUAGAGAUAAAUUAUUGCUAACCACUCCUUUCCCUUUUAUUCCGUCUUCCCCUUAGAAACAGAUUAGCUAACAGAGAAAUGAAGGACUCCCCGGGCCUCUAUCAGGUGGGAGGUAAAUGCACUUCUUCCCGGGUGACUGUUAUUUACAAACCAAGCUAAAAUUCUAGGACAGAAAACAGUUGGUUUGUGUGGGAGGAGGAACAAGCAGCAGCAUGACUGUGCUGAGUCAAACCCUCUGACUUCUCAUACGGGCUGUGUCCCACCAAAACUCUGGGCAGUUUGGCUGAGUGAGGAUCUGAGGGUCAGGUCCGACUCUGAGGAGCUGUAGGGUUUUGCAUUUCCCUAUACCCUUGAAGGGAGCAGCACUCAAAGCUGAGUGGCAGCUUGUGAGCAGCUGGUGGGACAGGGAGCUGAGCAGUGCUUUAGAAGACCAAGCAACUGUUUAAUUGCAGGUCACGCAGUAGCGAUGGUUCACAAAUUCUAAAAUAUAUCAUCUGGGUGAAAACCAGAGGCAGAGAGAAAUUCUGAGAUGAUUCAAAGCAGCCUUAUCUCAGAAUGAGGGUUUCAUCCCUCAGGGACCAGAAGCAAACAAAGGAUUACAUUUCAGACCCUGAGACUGCUGUGCAGAUGGGAGACAAAGUGAGUGGGAGGCUGGCACAGCAGCCUCACCUCCUGCUACUGCACACACCAGAGGAGAUCGCUUCCCCUACAGUAUUGCAGUGUGGUUCUAAGCAUUUUGCUUUUCUUUCUCAGACUCUCAUGGUUCUCUUUUUUAAGGAGUAAAUAAUUGCCACUUGGAUUUUAUAAAAAAAACCCAUAUUGACUGACUUUGUCAUAGCUGGAAGAGACUGGUACAAAACAUAUAGUGUUGUAAAUCUGUCAAAACAGAAAAAAAAUAUACAUGACAAUGUGUCAUUUUUCUGUCAAGCAGUCAGUACUCCUGGAGGAAAAAAAAAAAAGGAUUUUAGGUGGAUCCAAGCUGGGAAACUCAUCUCCAACUCCAGACUCCAAAUGCUGGGCCUGUGACUCACCACCUCUGUGGGAACUGGGGCACAUGAAAGGACCAAUCUAAAAAAUUCAUAACUUCCCAAAGCAUGUAGUUGGUAGGACCUGGAGCUGUUUUGAUUUAGAGCUUUAACCUAAGAGACAAGAAAGCCACAUUCCCAAGUGAAGAAGGAAACCUCUAUAUUAUAGUGAUCAAUGAAAAGAUAAGAAUGAAGGUUUAGAAACAUUCCUGUUUUGAUCAAAUGAACUAUGGUAUGACUUUUUUUUUUUUUUUUAAUGUGCUAUAAAGAUAAGCAAAUGAGUGUAACUCUUGGGUGUGAAAGAUUUUUAAAGUAAUGUUUAACAUGCCAAGAACUGCAAACUCUUCACACAGAAACACAUUUGCUCUACUUUAACUUCAAAACAAGUCUCUCCUUGUAGAGAGGAAAAUAAGUCAAGGGCGCUUGUAUUUUGCUGAUGCUGUAGCUUACAAUUACUGCAAAGGGCUUUUCUAAAAUAUGUUAUGGUUAUCUGCUGCUUUUUGUGCUAAGUCCACUGCUGCAUCAUUUCUUCAUAUCUAGUUCUGGUGCAUCACCUCACUUUUGAAUCCCCCCUCAUACCAUCUGUUUUUUCUCUAUCUCAUUUUAUUUCCAAGAUUUUGUAUUUUACAUCAAAGGCAAGCACAGCUAUUUUAAGGGGCUCACUACCUCUGUCUUCAAGUCUAACUCCUAUUUAGUUCAUUUCCCCCUCCCUCACUCUCAAAUUCUUCUCCUAUUUCUUUCUUCUGUAGCACUUUCCAUAGUCUCAAGUUAAUGGCCAUGCUUAAACAGUGCUGGGACUGCAACGUCCAAAUGUGAGCAAACUAUUCAUCAGGAUUUUUCUGGCAGGAACUUGCUCAUCAGGGAGAGCUGGUCCUGCUUGCUUCUGCUUGCCAGACCUUACUGCUCAUGGCUCCAAUGGCCUCAUGACAAAGAGCUUUAGGGCUGCAUUGGCUCUCUGUGGGACUUGACAAGAUCCAUGGAUUAUUGUUCCAGCUCUUUCCCUCUACUUGCUCUUCUUGCUAUGUCCCUGCACUGCUAGCCUGUUAAGGAGUUACAUUUUGAGAUGGAGUCCCAGGACUGUCAUAGAAAUACCUAGGCUCUGUCUUGCUGGAUGGCUGGCAGGUGGUCACACUGAGUUUGACACUUUCAGGAAGAAUUCAUCAUUAAAAUGAAAGAACACUCGCUAGAACAAAGAGCAGUCAUCUUGAAUAUCAUUAAUUGCCAUUUAGACAAAAAGCAAAGAUGAGUCUGUAAAAGCUCAGACCUGAACUGAGUCUCAGUGAGAGAAGAAGUUGUCUCACUUGUGCAAAACCAACGAUGACAAUCUUGACUGUGCAGUCACCACUCGCUAAGUGAUUGCUAUCUUCUCUUUUGAAGGAAACAUCCAUUGGAGAAGGUCAAGAUCAAAAUAAUCUGCUUGGGGUAAUGGGAGAAGGGAUGGUUUCCCACAUAAAGGCAAGAGAGAGUACCAAGCCAGGUCACAGCUGGGGUAUUGAAAACCUAAUGUUCAAUUGCACAGUGACGAGAUGACACCAAGUGGUGGUUUCUUCGUUUUAUCAGUAGGAUGAUUACCCAGUUCAUGUCCACCACGUGUUUAUUUAUCUUCCCUAACUCUGUCCUUUCUCUUGUGAAUUUCUCAUAGGAUUUAGACUUCACACUUUCUGCACAAAGGUGAACUUCUUGAAAUCUCAAGGGAUCUUAAGACGCUAAACAACAUGGAAAACAACUUCAGAUCCCAAUAGUUCCUGAAAUUCUUCAAAAGAACUGAUGCAGCCAUGUCUGAGACUGUGGUUCAAAAAGGUUAAAAAUGCCUGCACAACAGUAGGACAUGCCAAUGACUUGUUAGACAGCUCACUGUUCAUUGUUAAGUAUCUCCAGAUGACCAAAAUCUGGUCCCUCCUUGUGACCAAGAGUUCCCCAGACCCAACUUCUGUUUCAGGCCAAGAACAGAGUCCUGCUCUUGCCAGUUCCAGGAGGAUCUGACCUUUCUGGCUUCCUUGGAGCAGUGUCAAGUCUGAGUAUUCCACAACAAUUGGCUCCUCUCCAUGCUGCAGGAUUCUGAAGAUGACUUACAUUAGAUGUUGGAUAGAGAAGGUUUCUUUACAUCUCAGAGGCUGGAUGCUUCUAAGGUGAAAAAUUAUUGUCCCUUGGUCUAAGGUAAGUUGGUCUGUGCAACUCUGAUCUUUUCACCAGCAAAGUUAUAACCUGAGAUCAAGAGAGCAUAGAGAAUUAAAUAACCUUUGAGUCCUGUGUGCUUGAAACUUCGGAUUUUGGUGGAUUUUCGUUGGUUUUGGUUUUUUGUUUGGGGUUGGUUUUUUGUUGGUUUUUUUUGCCCUGAACAUUUUAUGCAUAACAAUCCCUAAUUCAUAGCACAUGAAAUAGUUAAGCAGAAUAGUAUGUGUUCUGGUGAGGUUAACUCCAGGAAGCCACAGGUUGAAGAAUGGCUUCAGAAGUAGUCAGGCAAAAUGCUUGAGAAAGAGCCGUUUCUGUUAAAAUAGAUCUGUUAAGAGUUCAUGCCCUGUUUUGUCAUUUCAGGAUGCCAGAAUGGUGGUCUGCAAUCUUCUCCAAGUGGCCAUGAGCUGAGGAAGAAUCUUAAUUGAUUAAGAUUCUUAAUCUUGCUGAGAUGAGUGAUGCAGUCAUUUGAGCCAGCUUGGUGGUGUUAGAAAAGACACAGAGCACAGAUUUAAUAUAUAAGGCUGUUUGGUUUUUUGGUUUUUUUUUUUUAAUGUACCAGUGGCAAUUAACCAGAGGGAGAGGUUAUAGGAGAAAUAAUAAAUAUUACCUGUCUUUCAUUGCCAGUCACUGUAGUAACUGAAAUCCCACAGCCAGUAGGAAGCAGUGGUAUAACCUGGCAGUCCUUUUCAGGAAAAAUUAAGUCCAAAAUGAACUCUGAACUGUCUUUACCAGCAGCCAGAGAAGGUCAGUGUCAGGUACUGCCCAGUCACCAAAUGGUGCUCCUCCCUUCAGAGAGCCCAGUUACAGCCAGUGGCAGCUGGCUGUGGAGCACAGCACAUGCAGAGCUGUCCCUGAACACUGACACUGAGAUGACCAACCUUUGGAGGCACUGGGACACAGAGCAAAAAGAAAUGCCCUGUUUAAAAGCUGUGCAUUGGACAAAACCUUUCUCAUCCCCACAGAGGAUGACAUACAUCCUGAUGUAUGCCAUCCUAGGGAAGCCAGUGGAGGAAUUUCUGCCAUGCCCACAGAGAGGCAGUCAUUAAACCACAAACUUUCUCCAACCCUACAGUCACGUACGUGGCAAUGAGCCUGACUAAAGCUCUGUCCCACUGCUGCCUCCGUUCCCAGGGCCUAAGCUAACAAGCUGAAAAUUUAAGGCUAAUAUCUGCACUGCAGCACACUGCAGGUGCUUUGCUGGUAUCCCCAAGAUCUCUUCUCUUAUUGUCUUCGUUUCAGUAAGGCCACUGGGGGCAUAAAAUUUGAUUAAGGGAGUGAGCAGAUUUAAUCCAGGGUAGUGAUACCUCCCUGCACUGAGCAGCCGCUCCUCUCAGAGCUGCCACAGCCAGCCCUGAUGCUCAUUAGCAAAGCAAAACUUCUAGAACACUGGUUCUAGGGACUCAUGUCUUAAACCUGGGUUGGUAAAAUUUCUCUGCACUCUCUCCUCUCCAAGUGAGGGAGCCAUCAUCAACCACAGUCCCUAUCUGGUGUAUGGUCAGGAUUUUUGCCUCAUGUAAUCACCUAAAUGAAAAAAAAAUCAUAAACCAAUUUCAGUUUUAGUUCAUUUACACUAUAAUCUCUACCUUGGUGACAAGAGGAACUUAAAACUGUUCUCACAGCAUGGCUCCAAUGCUUUUGUGAGUGCUGUAUAAUUAGAGCAAUGUUUAACCUCCCACUUGUGUUUCUGGAAAUUUAAACUACUUAACUAACUUUUCCUUGUUGGUCCUUUCCUCCCUUCCUCCCCCUCUGCCUUUUUUUUUUUUUUUUGGACAAAAUUGCCUUUGGCAUUGGACACAAUGUUCUAUGUAAAUUAGAGCAGUACUUUAAAUGUAUGAUGAAAACUGCUACAAAAAAUAUAGAAAAACAUAAUGUUGUCUUACUGUCUUGUUAGGGCAGAACGUGAUGAUACUUAGAGGUGUUGUGAGUGAACUCAAGUCCAGAGCUGCCUUUCCAACUCUCUGUCUGGCCACUGGUUUAUGUAAAAUAAAUGUAACAUGUUCAUUUCCUUCAUAAGUUACUCUAAUGCAGAAGUUAAGCAUUACUUUAUCUGAGUUACACAUAGGCUUUCUAAUGAAUAUUGACCCUAUUGAUAACUGGGAUAUUUUUCUUUUAUACAUUGAAAUUUUAAUAUUAUACAGUCUGUAAUGUGGAUGUAGUAGCUAUGCCUAGGCUGAGUACCCUGUGAUGAGAUCCUGGUUUCCAUCCACAGGGUCUCCAGGUUGGGAUCAGAUCCUUGGGCAGGAUCAGAGAUUGGCAGCCCCCCUCACCUCUCUGCUCUGGCCACCCAGAUGGGGAAAGCUGGAACAAGGACUGGGGUCACUCACUUUAUGUUUGUGCUACCAUAGAAGUGGGUUGCUGCUAGGCUCAUAUCUGGCCUAUGGGGUAGGGAAUUACUUCCAAAUCCAACAGCUCAGCUGUAGCCAAAUGUCCCAAAAUAAGUAGAUUUAUUCACUUUGAGACAUAACAAUAAUUUUUAUAUACAUAAGUGCUUUUGUACAGCUGUGAAUUUGGGGAGAGUGGGGGGUGAUGAGAGAAAUGGUCAGUGCAUUGCUUCAGUGUAGUUGAAGUCUCACAACUUCAGCAUGUUUCACAAAUCUAACAUACCUAGCUCAACAGAGGUGUGAGAAUAUUACACUGACAAUGUGUAUGAAGGUCUGACUAUUCGUGAUCAUUACUACUAGAAAUUUGUAAUCUCAUAUGAAAUACAGAAGCUGUGUCGUAUUUCAGUCAUCCAAUAUUAUUGGAAAAAUUUGCUUCACCUGUGUGUUCAUUAGGUAUUCUGAAAAAAAAAUGAAAUAACUACUAAAGUGUUGCUUUGAGAAAACAAUCUAAUAGAUAUACAAAGUUCAGGAUAAUAAACAAUUUGUCAGAAAUAGUAAGAAAAUUAAUCCAGUGUUCAAGAACUGAAGAUGAGAAACCUGCAAAACAAAGUGAAAUUAAAAAGUGCUCUUAGUAGUGAACAGCUUUUGAAUCUAUUUUAUUCUUAUUAACAAGUAAACCCACUGAAUAUUCAGAAUUAAUUCAUCCUACUGAAUAUUUUUUUCAUUUUUUAAGGAUAAUAAAGUUAAUUAAUGGGAAAACAUGGUGAAAUCAUCAUAGGUCCUCUGGUAUCAACAGAGAAGCUCAUUUGUGUAAUCUGAAGGUGUAUUUGAUGCUGCAAAUUCAAAUUAAUGUUUAUGACAGUGCAGCCAAUGCCAGUGCCUGAGCUGAAGCAUUUAUUCUUGCAGGCUCAGAAGGGAGCACAGCUGAUAGAACCUGAAAGCUGAAAAGUACAAUGUUUUGAGCAAAGGAACCUGGAAAGCUUAGGAACAUAUGAUGAAAACGUUAGAAUUAAAUUAAUUUACAAAAAGUGUAGGUGGGUGCAGCUAAGGCAAAAUAGUCUGUAGGACUGGGAGGCUGUGAAGAUCAACAACCUUCAAAAAACAUUGCAUCAAAAGAAAUACCACAGAGCUGCUGUUGAAUAGAAACACUAAUUAAUGAACUUUGAAUAGAAUAAAACCACAAAAAUUCCCCAUGAAUUCUGUAUUCCCCACUCAAAAACACCACACCAUGGUGCAGAGAUCAAUAGGUCUUUCCUAUGAAUUCAGUUUAAUAGUAAUUAGGACAGAUGGAGGUUUUUCCUUGCUUUCUGUAAUCCUCUGUGGUUCUGAUAGAAAAUUAUUUGGGCCACAAUGUUUUUUACCAAAAAGAUAUUGACAAGCUGAAAGCUGUAUAGUGAACAGCAUAAUAAAACACAGGGGACAUAGGACAGAUUGCAUGAGAUAUAACUAAAAUAUCUGAAUAUAUUCUGUUUUUUUUCAAGCAUCUCAAAGGCAUUAGCACCAAGGCUGAAAGGUAUUUCACAUGGCAUAGAGAUGUCUAACUGAGACCUCAAAAUGAAGCUAAAAAAAAGGGCCAAAUUAUACUUCACGACCAGAAUAUUUCCUAGUCAAUAGCUGUAUCAGAGAAGAAGCAAAAUCCUUAUGAACAUAAAAGCCUGUUGCCCUGGAUAUUUCCCAAAAAGUGUGCAACCCUUGCAGGGGUUGUGGUCAAUGAGACCCUUCUUCCACAACAACUUGUCAGAUUAUCUGGUAUACUUGAGAAUAAAAUAAACUCCCAAGAGUUUAAAUAGGGCUUAAAGAGCCAUCAGACUUGCCUUAACAUGCCAGCAUUUUGAGUGCUUUACCCUGUAGCAAACUUAGCCAAGUUGCCACAGGAAGCUUAGUCAUGAGGCCUCGUUUGUAAUGUACAGCUCUCCCUAAUGUGCUGCUGUAGAUAAAGCAGCCUGUAAAGCCUGUGGGUUUUUUGGGUGUAUCUGAAAGUUUCCAUGGUAAUGAAUGUGCAGAUUCAGAAGAAAAGAGCCCUGAAACUCCAAGCUGAUGCUUCUGGGGUUUUUUAAUAUGAUAAUAAAAUAUUAUGAUUCUAUAUUUUGAUGAUUCUGCAUUUCUAACCAUCUCCAGCACUGUACAGAGAAUGGAGAUGAACAUUGGUGAAAAAAAAUGAUGCUAAAGACAGUUUCAAGAGUCUGCAUCUACUUGCUUGCAGGUGGGACCUGAGGGAAACCAUAGCAUGUGUGGUGAUUUAUAGCAUGUUGGAGUGGUGAAGCAGGGCUGCUAAGGAAAACCUGGAUUUACAAACUGCUGGAGUGCUGGUGAAUGAAACUGAGACCAAAUGGUGGUGAUGGGCAGUUGGUGAUACGAUGGACAAUUGUCUACUGCUCAAAUUGGGCUGUGUGGCCACAGGGAGCUCAGGUUGCUGAUGGAGGACGUGCCCUUCCCUGAGCCACAGUGCAAUUUUGCCAGGCCUCUGGACGCAUCAGCUCUGGCUGGAAGGAGAGGGAAGCCUGAGGGGCAGACACAGGCAGAGAAGCCAAAAUAGCAAGCGUCAUGCUCAGCAGAUCUGAAAAAUUCCCCUGCUUCUUGAAGCUGUUCUUAUCUGGGCAGCCACCACAAGCAUUUGCGGACCCGUUGACAGGUUGGAGGUACACCAGAGGUGUUUCUCAGGAGCUCAUGUGGAUAAAGAUUUUUUUUCCAAACUGAAAAAAAAUAUUCUAAGCAUGGUCAUGCAAAAAGCAGGAGGUUCAGCUUUCCCUGUGCUCAGGAGUUUCUCAGCUUGUGUCCGUCCAUGCUUUUCUGAUUAGAAUCUGCUAUUGCAUUUGCUUUUGCCCCCUAAUAGUAUGCCUGUGUUGGACUCCCUUGGAAUUUCCAGACAGACAAUUGGUGAUCUGUACCCUGAGAAUCUUCAGCACUUGUUCCAGUUCAGAAAAAAGGGGCAUAUUGUUCUGACUGGAGCAUAGUAACAAAUAGUUUGUACUGCUCCUUACACUGCCUGUGUACAAUUUGCCUUUCAGGGUGCCAAAACUGGCUGCUGCACAAGCGCUGUAAAGCCACCAUGACUGCCCCUAAUGUAUGAUGCAUUUUGUGGAUUUCUUCUGAUCUGCAAAUCAGAGAGGCAGGUUGGAUUGAAUGAACAUCGUUGCUAUAUGCCCACAAAUUGCAUAGACUCUCAGAGACAUACACAGAGCUAAAACGCUUUGCACUACUCAGAGCAGUGCAACAGCAUCUCUGGUUGCAGUGAGCAGCACUGCCCAAAAUGCUGUGUCAGUGGAUCACAAGCAUCUUUCCACCGAGUCACUGCACAAUCUUCCCUGGGGCAGGGAGCAAGACUGUUACACAUCUGCUGCUUAUCAGAGGGAAAUGAGCACAGAUCUGGAAGAAAUGAGGUGAAGUAUUUCGGGUUUUGCAACAGCUUGCUUGUUUUCUCCACCGUGUUUGUGUUUGCUCAGAGGGGACAGAAUUUGCACUUCUUGCUUCUGAAGAGCUGAACUUCACUAUUGUUUGCUGAAUGCAAAACUAUGCAGAAUCUGAACAUCUUUCAGAAAUUACAACAGAAAAAAGAUUCAUGCUGUUAUUUUGAGAUGCUGUUUGUUCCUACACCAAAUCCUGCUGGUUUUAUUUACAUGUGCCUUUUUGUGAUCUGCAAAUCCCACCAAAUAAACAUCUUCUGUGCUCCCUCAGCUGGGUCUGCGGCCACAGUUUAAUAACAAGCAUGGGUUAGCAAGGGCUGUGCACAGCAGAGGUGUCUUGCCAUGUAAAGCACACAGGAUAAUGUCAUCUCUAUGCAAAAUUACAAAAAGGAGAAAAAUGCUGGCUAAAUGGAAAAAGAAGAUAAAAUUAGUACAAGAAAGAGGACAUAUUUGCAAAGUUGUAGGCAUUUAGAAAUAAAAAUGUAAAAGCUGCAAAAAAGUUAUUUAGUGUCCUCUUCAUCACAUCUGCACAAUGUUUAAAGUAUUGUUUGAAACAAGGGGCCAUAAGCAAAUUUCCCAUCUUUAAUGGCAUGCACCACAUUUGUCCCAUCAUUAGACAUGAUAAACCAAUGAGAAAAAGAAAGCAAGGGGUAAAACCACUCUUUGUCAUGCAGCUUCUCUUACACAUUCACUGCAGGGAUUUUUCAAAGCUGCACAUGUGCCGACGGACACUGGCUGGUGGGCGAGAACUCUGGCUGCCUCUUCCUGAAGAUUGAAAAGAAAAAGACACCCAGUGAGUGGCUAUACACAUGUGCACACAUGGUGGCUAUACCACUCAAUAGGUGCCUGUCCCUGACCUAUGUCUGUGGGCUUUCCCAUCUUUCAUUCUCUUGUCACCUCAGCUUCCACACAGAUUUCUCUUUGGCUCCAGCACGAUACUGGUUAAAAAUUAUUUUCACGAUGUUCAUUCUGCUUCCUAUGCUGAGCCUUGAUGCACUUUACAUACCAGAUGGCAAGGGCUGCUGUGCAUCUAGCUGUCAGAGGAACUUCGCCCCUGGUAUUCUCAACAUAGGAUGAAAUGAUAAAAAAAGGAGCAUCUGCCCCUCACAUCUUAUUUACAAAAGCAUCACCAAAAUUUUUUGCUGGUAGAAUUUUUAAUAUGCUGCUGGUUUUUCCUUUGUCUCUCUUCCCCUAAUAUGUUUUUCUAAAUGCUUCUUUUACUUUUGGAGCUCUGGCUGAAUAGUCACUAGCUUGCAUUAUAUGUGAUUUCACUAUGGUGCUUCUUCUUUUUUUUUUAAGGAAGCAUUGGAUUUAUUGAGGUAGACACUAAAUUAAUAGUCUCCUAAGCACUCUAUCUGCAAAGGUAAUUCAAUACAGAAUUGCAGAUUGCAAUUUGGGCUGUUAAUAUGGGAUGAUUUCCAUUUAAUUUCUCUUUUCUUCCUUGCCCUGUCAAGCAGAUUCAAAUUCUCAUUUGUCUUCCCCAGUAUCAAUAAAACUAAUAUACACACAAGCGCAUGCUUUGACAAAAAUCUCAUGUAUUUUUGCACAUGGAAUGUAUCACUGAAUUUCUGAAAAAAAAAAAAAAAUCAUCAUUGUAUUGCAAAGAAAAUGCAAAUUGAAAUUCAGCAUUUCUCCCCAUCAAACAGUCAUAGUGCAUGCUUGCCAGACUUCUGUGUACCUCCAAAUGACAGAUUCAUGGAUGGUGUGUGCAUGUGCUACAUACUCAGCACAUGAGCUGAACAAGCCAUUCCUCUCACCACGUACUAAAGCGCAGGAGCACAGCAUGAUGUACACAGAACACAUGCAUACCCAUUUGGGAGCAGUAGAUGCCUUGAGAUGACUUCUGAACUAUUAUGAAUAAAACACAAAUAAGACAUUCUGCUGAACAAUUUUGCCAACCUGAUUACUUUGAAGCCUCUAGAAAAUUAAAUUCAUUACCAGGUAUAAUGAGAUCACUGAGAUUUGAAAAUUUAAAAGUGAUCAUGACUAGGAACUUAGCUAGCAUGGUCUCUCCUCUACCUUAUUAAAGUCACAGGGAUUAUUAGGCUUCUGAUUAGACAGAAUAUUCAGCAUUUCUACAGUCUUCCAUUUUUCUUAAUCAAUUGAGAGAAUAAGAGCUUUCUACUUCCUGUGCUUUUUAUUCAGUCACAAGAACAAAUUUUACAAAACAAGUAGCAACACACUGAGAGAUUAUCUGAGAAAAAAACCUAGAGCUAAAUGUAUUUCACACACAUGCAGUGUUGUACACUCAACAGAGGGCACACAGCCACAGACAGCCCUGCUUAGGACCAUGGAAAAGGUGGAAGACUUUUGUUUCAGAACACGGCUUGGCUGAGUCAACAGGCUUUAGCAGCUGUCAUUCCUCAGCCAUUUGCUGUCACUUAUGGGUUGCUUAGCUGCACCCCCUUUGUACUUCUUCUUAUUCAUAUAUAUCCCUGUAGUGAGUUCAGAGCAGUUUGCUCUCCAAGCUUUGGACAUUUGUUGGUCUUGAUAAGAAAUCCUCCUAAGUGAAAGGAAGAAAGAAGCCUGCUUCCUCAAGCAGUUCAAAAUGCCUCAAAACUCGUUCAAAAUACAGCAAACUCUUUUACUACGAUUGCAGCUGUGCUCCUCAGCCAAAAUCAGACACAAAUGUUACAUCUGAGAGAGUAUGUAACCCCCAGAUGCCUGGCCAGAUUUGCAUUCUGGAGGAGGUUGUUGUCGUUAACGUGCUGCCAAGAUCCAUCAAAGCAGUGGUCUGCCUUUUGAUCAAGGUCAAGGGUGAUCCCCACAUGGUGAUGCACAGCAUACAUAGCAGAAAUCACCUAAAUCUCAGGGUUCAUGCUUCAGUAGAAUUUGAAUUUAUAGUGAAAUUUAGAUUUAUAGUAUGGGAAAUGUAGUACAAGUGUUGGUAGUAUUUCAGUGAAUAACUUUCCAAUUAUCAAAUCAACGUCAACUGUGUAAAUAAUAAUAAACAUUUUUGAUGCAUUGAA